rnacentral:rRNA from 1 species
UACAGAGGGGGCAAGCGUUGUUCGGAAUUACUGGGCGUAAAAGGCGCGUAGGCGGCCUUCUAAGUCGGACGUGAAAUCCCUCGGCUUAACCGAGGAACUGCGUCCGAUACUGAAAGGCUUGAAUCCGGGAGAGGGAUGUGGAAUUCCAGGUGUAGCGGUGAAAUGCGUAGAUAUCUGGAGGAACACCGGUGGCGAAGGCGGCAUCCUGGACCGGCAUUGACGCUGAGGCGCGAAAGCUAGGGGAGCAAACGGGG